rnacentral:rRNA from 1 species
UGAGGAAUAUUCGGCAAUGGGGGCAACCCUGACCGAGCAACGCCGCGUGGAGGAUGACGGUUUUCGGAUUGUAAACUCCUUUUCGGAGGGAAGAGGCAGGACGGUACCUUCGGAAUAAGUCACGGCUAACUACGUGCCAGCAGCCGCGGUAAUACGUAGGUGGCAAGCGUUAUCCGGAAUUACUGGGCGUAAAGCGCACGCAGGUGGCUUGGUAAGUCUGACGUGAAAGCUCCUGGCUUAACUGGGAGAGGUCGUUGGAGACUGGCAGGCUUGAGGUAAGGAGAGGGGUGCAGAAUUCCCGGUGUAGUGGUGGAAUGCGUAGAUAUCGGGGGGAAUACCAGAGGCGAAAGCGGCACCCUGGCCUUGGCCUGACGCUCAGGUGCGAAAGCGUGGGGAGCGAAC